CACUAGGGAUGGGAAGUAGGGGAUGGAGGGGUUUGACUGGGGCUGCCCAGCAGGGAAGGUCGCUCUUCCGCCCUUGCGCAGGCACAUGGCAACCCAUGUCUCAGGGCAGAAAGGCACAGGAGUUUGGGCGAAGCAGGGUGACAAUGGCUCUCAGUGGCGAAGUCACCUCUCAGCAGAAGCCAGGAGAGGUGACUCCGGCGGGUCUCAGGGAUGUGGUCAGGGUGGACUUUGGUAGAGCUGUUGAACUGGUGGCAGCAGUGGGAAUAGGUCACCAGGCAGCGGGGCCUGGGCUCCGGGGCCUGGAUUGGGGAAGGCAGCUAAUUCCAACUGCCAUGGAAUGCCACUGGGGCGCUGCUGGCGAGUCUGGGGUCCCCCACCUGGGGACAGGAUGCAGCAUCGCUCUAAGAGCUCUCCGGGGCACAGGGGACGCGCCUCUCACGUGGAGGGUGACAGGCGUCCCGAUUUCGGUGAUAUUCCAGAGGACAGGGAGCCCAAUAUGUCUUCAAGGAAUAGGGUUUGCAGUAGGUUGGUGGGGAGCGGGGCAGAAAGCAAGGCGAAGCCCGCAGGUGGGCACUUCCCGCAGGAUGCCUGCUCUUUCCCAGCUCAGAACCUCACAGGGUUCCGUGGGGCAGGAUGGAGACACCUCACCUCGCAGCUGCCUGCAGGAUGCAGCAAGGGCAUUACCCUACAGGUGGAAUGGGACAUUUUUGAAGAAUUCACGAGGUCCCGUCCUAGGGGUCACCGACCGCUUUGGACACCUCGUGGUCCUCCUGGGUGCCUGGGAGAGGACAGGAGAGUCUGUUGAAGGCAGCAAGGGAAACUGAGAAGUUUGUACUAGCGCGAUGAAGCAGGAGGUGAGGCUCUGGGAUCGCACGACUGUCAUAAAAGAAGCCGAGGAACUUCCUCAUUCAUGUCUGCUUGAGGAAACGCUGCAGAAACUAGAGGCACGUUAUGCUGGAUGAGUUAAUAGCGCGCUUCCUUAUCGCUUGGGUAUUUGACGAAUUUGAGGUAACGCUCCUUGCUGCAAACAAGAACUAUCAAAUGUACACGGAAUGUACAUGUGGAUGCUUGCACGAGCUGAUUAGUGACGAGCAGAGAUGAAAUGAAAGGAGGCAGAAAAUAAGGAAGAAGAAGAUAAAUUGGCAUUUGAUUUAUCUGGAGGACGGGAAAGUGUGAAAGAAAAUUGAUUAGAAGUAGGGCUGGGAACGUAAAAAAGAUGAACCUGCAGCAUUUUAGAUUAUUCAAAAAGGAAGUUAGAGAGAAUUCUUGAGAAUGUCUUAGGCUGAAAACUUAGGACAGGGAACUGGCCAUUGGGUUUUAGAUAUGGAUUCCUAUCAGCUGCAGAAUAUAUAUAUAUAUUAGGAAUUGGGACUUUCUCAUGCUCUGCUGUUUGUCCUUUUUUGUAAGUUAAUGUAUCAUUCACCCAUCACUGCUGCUGGGGGAGUUUAAAAUGUGAAGAAUAGUAGGGUGAUCAAAGCAAGACCUUCCCAACAUCGAGAAAGUAGACAGAGUAGGUGUUGUCCCUGGAAGUCGCAGCAUGCUUUGUACUAGCACCGAAUGCAUCCACCGUCACCGUGGACCAUCCCCCUGCCUUGGCGAACGAAGUGGCCACCACUGUGCUGGCCUUCAGGAGGGGCCUAACUGCCCAUCUUCUGCGUGCCCCCUUCUGGGGGCCUCUGUUCUCAGCCAUCGGAGAAACUAAGGCAGCAUAUCCAAUUUCUGCUAGUGCAGGGAGAUUUAGAACCUGGGAAGAGAGGGGAUCUUAAUCCCCUUGGGGUGCCCGGAACUACUUUAGAUUUUAACCUCAACCCAAGAUAUGGGUGGGUCUAGACAACUGCGGAGAAAGAAUUUCUUCAGGAAUGGAAGCCGAGGGAGAGUUCUGACUCGUUUCAACAGCCGAAGCCCUGUGGAAUGAAGGAGAGAACCCAGACUGUCCCGAGCUGGGGCAAGCUGCCCCAUAUGCCCACACCACGAACCUAUAAUUUGAGCCUAUAAUUUGCAGAUGUGUAUCUUGUCAGUGUGCUCAGGCACCUCACGCUGUUCCUAACUGGGUCAACUUCUCUUUCCCCCCCUAAGAGGAGAAUAAGGGAAAGAACUAGACUCCAAAUUUCAGUUGAAGCAGCAAGGCAGUGUCCCGUACUUCGGUUUCGGGAGUAACUCCAUAUCAUCUUACACCUCCCAUAAUAAUCCACUCGAGGGCUGGCACCAGAGAAUUGAAAUAUGCUUAGAAAAAAUACUGACCUGAGAAUCAAAACAUUUUUUUUCCCAAGCCUCCAACUUUGUCAUUUCAUCGCAAUAGGUUCUAUAAAUAUACGUAACCUUCACCUACAGGAAGGAAUGGUAAUACCUUUCACGGAUAUCAAAAUUAAGUAUCAGGUCUGAGAAAAAUGUUUGUGACUGAUGAUUUACCCAUUUGCUUCAUGUUACUAUACUGUUUGAAACCUGAUUUAUACGUGAAAACUUUAUUUAUUUAUUUAUUUUAUUAAAGACUUUAUUUAUUCAUGAGAGACAGAGAGGGAGAAAGAGAGGCAGAGACACAGGCAGAGGGAGAAGCAGGCUCCAUACAGGGAGCCCGAUGUGGGACUUGAUCCCAGGAUCCCAGGACGAUGCCCUGGGCCGAAGGCAGGUGCUAAACCACUGAGCCACCCAGGGAUCCCUAUACGUGAAAACUUUAAACAUCAGUUAUAAGAACUUGCCGAAUGCUUACUGUGUGCCAGGCACGGCUCUAAAAAUAUUAUAUAUGUGUUGUCUAAUCCAUGCAAUCCUCACCUUUGUGAGGUAGAGACUAUUUGUUGUUCACAUGUCUCAGAUGAAUAAAUUAAGGCCUAAAGAAAUGAACUGACCUCAAGAUAAUACUGUUGCUGGAUGGAUAAUACAGAGCUGGAACUAGAAGUUCCAUCUGUCUCUCUAAAAAGCCUGGACCAUUUUGGCCUUUCGACUUCAGCAUCACGAGGGGCAAAUGGUUGGCAUCCCUAAAACCUAUGUAUCUGAUUUAUAAUAAUGUGAGGGAGGAGGAGGCUAAGGCUCUUCCGUACAGGGACUCAGUUAAAUUUGAAUUUCAAAUGAACAAUGAAUAAUUUUUCGACAUAAGUAUAUCUCAAAUAAAAUUAAGAGCAUAGUUAUACUCAAAUUUUUUUGUGUGUGUUUUGAUUUGCUAACUGUGACAACCCUGUUCUAUGAUGACAUCAGUCUCAGAUUUGUUUAGAACCUCCUAGAACCUGACCCUAUGAUUUGGUCUUGGGCUUAGCUGGGAUCCAGUGAGUGUUUCUGGAAGUGAAAGGGGGAUGCAGGCCAGGGGAGUGCCCAGGGCAUCUCUGCCCUGGGCCCUCGCUCCACCAAGCCUGGACAGGCUGCGGCUCCCCUCGUCCGCGGGGCCAUGUGAGACCUGCAGGUUUUCCCAGCCCCUGGCAGCAGCACCCCUUCUGUGACUGGGCCUUGGAGCAGGAGGCACGGGGGUCGUUGCCGUGUAAGAGCGUGCUGUUUCCAGGAACCAGAGGUUUGGACGGAACAGCGGCAGCGUAGCGGGGGAAUGUCCCAGGACUGCCUGGAAGAGCGAGGGGUGUGCAGGGAAUUUACAUGUAAAGACUGAAAAACAAUUCAUCCAGAGCCAAUUUCAGCUCAGACCAGGGGGAAAAUUGCU